UUAAAAUUUCCAAGCAGUCCACAGAGAUAGAAGCUGAAAGUCUGGAUCAAGGAAAGUGUGAAGAUGACCAGAUUCAGCAAUGCACAAACUUGAAUACAGAUGAUGAAACCUAUCUCAUGGAGACUGACGAGUUGGAUAUGUUAACAGAAAAAGAAAAUAUUUGUGAUAAUCUUAUUGAAAUUUCAGCAUCUGAAUAUACAGUUACAUCAGAAGAGUC